CUCUCUCCGCCUCUCUCUCCGCUCCUGAGCCCAGCCAACAACCCGCACCUCGUCUGCCUGCUACACCUGCCAGCAAUCAACUCCAUCUCUGCCAGUACUUCUACCCCGGUUCUCCAGUCAACCCCUGCUUGAUCGUCGUCGCUCCUUACCCGGUUCACUCACCCUCGUCUCCGGUCAGUCAUCUGCUCACUUGCCCCUUUCCCUCGGACUACCCCCACGGCGUCCUCCCAGUUCUCCUGUGCCUCCUGGCUUCUCCGGCCCCAGUGUCCCCCGGCUCUCUGGUCUCUGUCUCCUCGGUUCCCUUUGCCUGCGUUUCCCCAGCAUCCACCUCACCCUCAACUCCAGUCCUUCAACCCCUUUUUUUUCCCCAAUAAAACCUGCCUACCUGA